rnacentral:rRNA from 1 species
GACGAACGCUGGCGGCGUGCUUAACACAUGCAAGUCGAACGGAAAGGCCCUGCUUUUGUGGGGUGCUCGAGUGGCGAACGGGUGAGUAACACGUGAGUAACCUGCCCUUGACUUUGGGAUAACUUCAGGAAACUGGGGCUAAUACCGGAUAGGAGCUCCUGCUGCAUGGUGGGGGUUGGAAAGUUUCGGCGGUUGGGGAUGAACUCGCGGCUUAUCAGCUUGUUGGUGGGGUAGUGGCUUACCAAGGCUUUGACGGGUAGCCGGCCUGAGAGGGUGACCGGCCACAUUGGGACUGAGAUACGGCCCAGACUCCUACGGGAGGCAGCAGUGGGGAAUAUUGCACAAUGGGCGGAAGCCUGAUGCAGCAACGCCGCGUGCGGGAUGAAGGCCUUCGGGUUGUAAACCGCUUUCGCCUGUGACGAAGCGUGAGUGACGGUAAUGGGUAAAGAAGCACCGGCUAACUACGUG